rnacentral:rRNA from 1 species
GACAGAGGGUGCAAACGUUGUUCGGAAUUACUGGGCGUAAAGCGCGUGUAGGCGGCUGUGUAAGUCGGGCGUGAAAUCCCAUGGCUCAACCAUGGAAGUGCACCCGAAACUGCGUAGCUAGAGUCCUGGAGAGGAAGGUGGAAUGCUUGGUGUAGAGGUGAAAUUCGUAGAUAUCAAGCGGAACACCGGUGGCGAAGGCAGCCUUCUGGACAGUGACUGACGCUGAGACGCGAAAGCGUGGGGAGCAAACAGGG